AAAAAAAUGUCGGCCUCUGCAUCGGAAUCAACUUCUCCGCCUGGGGAUGGUGACGGUAAUCUUGUGCUUUGCAUGGUAUGCGGUGCCCCCUUCCAGAGUACGCAGGAUUGCCUUGCCCACGCGCUGCUCAAGCAUGGCAGCAAGCUCCAGAAGCAUCUGCGAAAGCGAUUGAACGCCAUUACCACGAUAUUUAACAGCGCACAAAGCCAAUCCGAACGCCAUGAGCUGCGGGAGGCUCUUGAAAAGUCCAAGCCCGGCGGGCACCUGCGCACCGUAUUGAAUUUCUUUGCUGUUGAUCUCGAAAAGAUGAAAACCUGCUUCGAGCACGUCCGCAACUGCAUAGAGAAGAAGAUGAAGGGCAAGGUUAGGGUGUUCCCCUUUGGUUCACUGGUUACUGGUUUAGCAUUGAAGGAGAGCGACCUCGAUUUGUUUCUGGAGCCCAACGGCAACCAGCCACCAUUGUUCCAUCAGCAUCUAUACAACACGACCUCAUACUUUUUACGAAGUUCCAAAUGCUUUGCAGAUGUGUACACCAUUCGUCAUGCCAGCGUGCCCAUCAUUAGAUGUAAGCAUCAGCUCACCGGACUCAACAUAGACUUCAAUAUGUCAAAUCCGAAUGGCACAUUUAACUCCCGAUUUGUGGGCGAACUGAUGCUUCGCAAUGAGCGGAUACGCGAGCUCAGCUUGUUUUUGAAAAUCUGGGCCAAGAAGCUAAAAUUGAUUUGCAAUGGCGGCAUGACAAGCUAUUGCUUAAUAUCCUUGAUCAUCGUAAACUUGCAAGUGAAUCGAAUAGUUCCAUCCGUCAAACAGCUCCAGUCAUUCUGUCCACCGGUUAUUUUGUCGGGCGUUAACUUUGCCUACAGCCUGGACCUAACGCCGCCGAUUACAGAACGGCUCACCACGCUGGAUUUACUUAAAAACUUCUUCAUAUACUACAGCACUGUCAACUUUGACAAAAGUUUAUUGAGUCCGUUUCUGGGCGGCUGUGUGGACAAGGAGACAACACUGGGCAUACCGGGAGGGUUUCCCGAGUACGAUGAGCAACAGAAGCUCGUGCAUGAUGCAACAGGUGCGCCGCCACAUGCUUUCCAGCUGGAUAGAGUUAUGUGCGUACAGGAUCCCUUCGAGCUGAACCGCAACGUGGCCAAAUCAGUGUCCGUUGCAAAUUUAUUUUACUUUAGACAAUGCCUAGUCCUGGCUGCUCAAGCAUGCAGCGAUCAGGAACUAACUUCGCAACCAGAGAAGCUAUACGACUACCUAUUAUUUGGCCUGGCGGAUAAGUUAGUAGCCGACAAAAUAGUGGCAGAUAAAAGAUCAGAUUAGUGGCCCACCACAAACGAUCUCAAAUGCCUGCGCUCCGUUUUGCUGGCCAUCAAAACAGAGAAUGGUCAGGGCAUAUAUUAUACUACUGGUUGGUCUGCUAAUCAGCACUUCUUACGACACUUGGACAGGACGCACUUUCCAGCGUGGCGCCGGUCAAUCUUUCUUCGCCCACCAGUUGCAGCAGACGAUUGAGUUUACGAAGACGAGAAUGUACGCAAUAACAAGGCUUUUUAAAGCGUUUAAGAAUCUACUGGGCAACUUUAGUUUCAAAGAGAAGGCCAGCACCUGGAAGUUUUGCGCCACGUCUGACCAAAUCUGA